GAAAAGCAGUGUUCAGUCCAACCACAGGGAGCUGGUGUGUGUGCACUAAACUAUUAGUUUGGCGCAAAACAGGAUGGAUAUAAAAUACGUUUUGGUUGAUUUCUUCACUGACAACACUGUCCAUAUAUGUGAAGUAUCACAAUUAAAACACAAAGACAUGAAAAAACUACACCCCAAGGCCAUUCACAAGUGGGACAAAAGAGAAGAAUUAUAUGUUUUUUGGAAGAAAAGUUUCUCAGGCGAGCCAGAGCGUUGGCCUUGUCGAGUCAUCCAGUUUAGCGGAGAGCGUCAACCCCUAAUUGAUCUGAGGAACAAAAUUGAAAAGGGGUGUCCCUUGGACAGUAUACCCCUCUUUGCAACAGAGGAAGCAUUAGGAAAGGGGAGAAGAGAAAAAGUGAAAAGGAACUCAGCAGAUGUUGACGAGACUUCUUUAAUGGACAUGGU